rnacentral:rRNA from 1 species
AUGGGAACGCGAAGAACCUUACCUAGACUUGACAUCUCCUGAAUAGUGUAGAGAUACAUGAAGCCCUUCGGGGCAGGAAGACAGGUGGUGCAUGGUUGUCGUCAGCUCGUGUCGUGAGAUGUUGGGUUAAGUCCCGCAACGAGCGCAACCCUUAUUACUAGUUGCUACCAUUAAGUUGAGCACUCUAGUGAGACUGCCCGGGGUUAACCGGGAGGAAGGCGGGGAUGACGUCAAAUCAUCAUGCCCCUUAUGUCUAGGGCAACACACGUGCUACAAUGGUGAGUACAGAUAGAUGCGAUACCGCAAGGUGGAGCCAAACUCUAAAACUCAUCCCAGUUCGGAUUGUAGGCUGAAACUCGCCUACAUGAAGCUGGAGUUGCUAGUAAUCGCGAAUCAGAAUGUCGCGGUGAAUACGUUCCCGGGUCUUGUACACACCG